rnacentral:rRNA from 1 species
CGCGUGGAGGAAGAAGGUCUUCGGAUUGUAAACUCCUGUUGUUGAGGAAGAUAAUGACGGUACUCAACAAGGAAGUGACGGCUAACUACGUGCCAGCAGCCGCGGUAAAACGUAGGUCACAAGCGUUGUCCGGAAUUACUGGGUGUAAAGGGAGCGCAGGCGGGAAGACAAGUUGGAAGUGAAAUCCAUGGGCUCAACCCAUGAACUGCUUUCAAAGCUGUUUUUCUUGAGUAGUGCAGAGGUAGGCGGAAUUCCCGGUGUAGCGGUGGAAUGCGUAGAUAUCGGGAGGAACACCAGUGGCGAAGGCGGCCUACUGGGCACCAACUGACGCUGAGGCUCGAAAGUGUG